rnacentral:misc_RNA from 1 species
UCCGGCUUGUCACCGGCAGUUUCACUAAAGUGCCCAGCCCAACCUGAUGGCAACUAGUGAUGAGGGUUGCGCUCGUUGCGGGACUUAACCCAACAUCUCACGACACGAGCUGACGACAGCCAUGCAGCACCUGUGUGGAAGCCAGCCGAACUGAAGAACUCCAUCUCUGAAGCUCAAACUUCCCAUGUCAAAAGCUGGUAAGGUUCUGCGCGUUGCUUCGAAUUAAACCACAUACUCCACCGCUUGUGCGGGUCCCCGUCAAUUCCUUUGAGUUUUAAUCUUGCGACCGUACUCCCCAGGCGGAAUGCUUAAUGCGUUAGCGGCGACACUGAUGGAUUGCUCCACCAACAUCUAGCAUUCAUCGUUUACAGCGUGGACUAC